rnacentral:rRNA from 1 species
GACGAACGCUGGCGGCGUGCCUAAUACAUGCAAGUCGAGCGAGCAGAACCAGCAGAUUUACCUCGGUAAUGACGCUGGGGACGCGAGCGGCGGAUGGGUGAGUAACACGUGGGGAACCUGCCCCAUAGUCUGGGAUACCACUUGGAAACAGGUGCUAAUACCGGAUAAGAAAGCAGAUCGCAUGAUCAGCUUAUAAAAGGCGGCGUAAGCUGUCGCUAUGGGGAUGGCCCCGCGGUGCAUUAGCUAGUUGGUAAGGUAAAGGCUUACCAAGGCGAUGAUGCAUAGCCGAGUUGAGAGACUGAUCGGCCACAUUUGGGGACUGAGACACGGGCCCCAAACUCCUACGGGGAGGCAGCAGUAGGGAAUCUUUCCACAAUGGACGCAAGUCUGAUGGAGCAACGCCGCGUGAGUGAAGAGGUUUUCGGAUCGUAAG